UGCCUACCCUAGGUUCUGUAUGUCCUGUACUUAUUGUUAUGUCUGCCUACCCUAGGUUCUGUAUGUCCUGUACUUAUUGUUAUGUGUGCCUACCCUAGGUUCUGUAUGUCCUGUACUUAUUGUAAUGUGUGCCUACCCUAGGUUCUGUAUGUCCUGUACUUAUUGUUAUGUGUGCCUACCCUAGGUUCUGUAUGUCCUGUACUUAUUGUUAUGUGUGCCUACCCUAGGUUCUGUAUGUCCUGUACUUAUUGUUAUGUGUGCCUACCCUAGGUUCUGUAUGUCCUGUACUUAUUGUUAUGUGUGCCUACCCUAGGUUCUGUAUGUCCUGUACUUAUUGUUAU